AUUUUUUUUUUCCUCAGGAGGAUCAGGAGGGGGUUGCUUGUGAUCACCAUCCUACGGCACAGUUGGUACUGAUACUGUGCUCCACAGGAUGCCCUUCAAGAUUCUUUAAGGCUCUUCCUGUUUAGGCAUGUUUCAAACCAGGUUCUAAAGGAACAAGCAAGGAAGACCACGAGUUCCCAGCCCUGCAGAUGGGAACCUGCAACCCUCCCUCUGGCUGAGAUCCCUUCUCUAGAUGUGAGCUGAGGAAGGAACUUCAGUUGACCACAGAACCGAACAACUCCGUUUUCUUUAUUUUAUGGCAGAGAACCCAUGUGGAUGAAACCUUACCAGUUAUGAUGAGAAAAAUUCACUCUGAAAUAUUGUGCAUUAUAUUUCUGGUCCACAUACAGUGAUACAACCCUACUGAGAGAAGGUGCACAACAGAUCAGCCCAUGUACUAAUAGACUCAGCAUUGACACCAUUGUAUCCAUGGCAACACACCAGCCUGCGCAAGCAUCCAAAGAUAUUAUGAAAAGCAGAAAUAUCAACUGAUGACAACGAGUCACUUCAGACAAUAGAUGUUUGUGUGUUUCACAACCACCUGGAAUGUUUCUCUCCCCACCCAUCAGAGCAGACCUUCAGAAGCACAUGCUGAUGAUGACCCUGAAUGAGGAGGUGUAAAGCGACACACAAAAAGCCCACAGAUAGCUUCAAGGCAUUCAGGUUUAGAGGAAUCCUUUGCCUGCUCCAGCCUUCUCCUGAAGGUACGCACCCUGCUGCCUUUUCAAAAAUGGAAGACUCUUAGCAGCAAGCUGGCGGUUUGGAGCCGAGGCAAAUAAACAACUCUUUGUUACGUCUGUAGAUGCCUCCCCUCUUGUAACAAAUAACAGUAGUGCUUUAUUUGUAGAAACAGUACAAGGAAUAUGAAGCCCAAAACCCAAGAUGAACUUGAUGUUCUGUACCAUUAUGUUAACUUGAUUAGGCUAAUCGGUUUUCAACUGGUAAUUUAGGCUUUAGGCUUGGAAAAUGUAGAAACAUUUACAUGUUUGAACAUAAGAGAACGAGCAUUUUAAGAAGUAUCAAACCUUAUCAAAAUUCUACAUUAAUAAAACAAGCUAUUGGUGCAUCAGAGAGUUGAAGAGUUUCCAUGUGCAAGUAUGCAAGCACAGCUAUACAUUAUUUCUGUGGUUUUAAUUCUCAGUAGAUACCGCUGGAAAAACUCAGACUUUUCAGUAGGACAGGAAAUGAACUCUCAGAAAUAGUAUACCCCUCAAGUUCCAACCAAAAUGAGUUUUAGUAAUGCAUGUGUCAAGUUCACUUUGAAAAGCAACUUUUCCAUAUAAGCAUACUACAGAUGUAACAUAGAAAGAGAGAUUUCACUACUUAAACCUGUUCAAUUUUGAUGGUAGGCUGUGGAUGCUUACUGCAUUAGAAGACCUGGUAAUACUGAGUGGGGCAAUAGUUUUAUUCCGACAGCUUUAAGAAUAGACAAAGAUGGCAGUACUUGUACAAUUGAGAAGGUAGAGACAGCAAAGCAAACCACCCAAGCUCACAGACUAGCAAUCAUUACUUCCUGACAACUGUUCCCUGUUAUAACCAGAAAAUGUUAAGAGCAACAAAUCUUUUUUUUUUUCUUUUUUUUUUUCUUUUUUCUCCCUUGAGUGAUUUCCUUUCCCUGCUCAUGGAGAUGGGAACUGAACAGAUAAGCUGUUCCUCUGUACACUAGAAAACAGGUUAAAGCAUUGAAAAGCGGUUUUGGCUUAGAAAUGUCACCAGCUGCAUUCUGCAGGGAUCAGUAAUCCCCUCACUUCCUUUUGAAUAUGUUUACUAAAUGUCCUGUGAGAUGUCCCUAACGUGACAAGUCUGACAUCCAGUUUUUUUUCUCUUCAGCAAAGGCAACCAGCCCCAUAACUAAGAUGUCACAAAGCCUCAAGAGCUGAGAGGAAAACGAGCUGGGUUAGGUAAAUGACAGAGGGAAAGGAGGCUCUGCAUAACUGCUUACUCAAUAAGAGAUUUGCACUGUGCAUACUGCACUUCAGCAUGUUAUCUGGGGACCCUUUGCUUGCAGUCAUAGUGGUGAGAAAUACCUGCUGGAAUUGUGUGUCUGCUGUAAUUCUUGCUCCUUGUGUCCACAAGAGCAAGUGGAAGCAGUAAUUCAUACUGUCUGCUUUCAAACCAUACUACUUCGAAUGCAAAGAUUGGCUUUUGACAUCCAAAGAUAACUAACUCAUCAUAAUUCAUUUGAGUACCUAUUCCCUUUGGAAAAAAGACCAAAGGGAGUGAGUGUCUACAAAGGCAGGGUUGCUCCAUUAAAAGUCUUCCCACUAUGGCUAGAUCUUGUGUUUGCUUAAAGCUUUCACGUGCCAGUUUGUGACAUAUGUUUGCAGACAGGUAACAUCUCCAAGUAAUCUUUAAAAGCCAAAUACUAUCAAAUAGUAGACACGCAGAAAAAGGAAGCUUUUAAAAUGUAGGUUUUACCAUAGGAGUUAACGAUAUUGUUUUGUUUCUUGUCCCAGUCAGAAACAGAUUGAACGCAGUCUCUUGUACAAAGCCAGGGAUAAAUGUACUGUAUUUUCAGUGGUUGGUUUUGUUUUGCUUAGUGGUUGAUAACACAUUUUAAGGAGCUCAACUCAGGGUUGUUUUUUUUCUCCCCUUCAUUUGGGCACUAGAGGGACUCUAGAGUUGUUACUGCAAGAAACAUCUCAGCAACGUUGAGGCAAUAAUGACUCCUUCACGGUCCCUUUAGCCUAAGUGUUUCCAAGGGAAAAGGUGGCAAAAACUGCUCAACUGGUUGUGGCACAUGCCCAUAGACUUACAACAUGCCACUGGGGAAAGUGUCUAAAAGCUCCACAGGAUGCUUUCCACUGCUUUGUAUUUCUGGUUUCUGCUCGCAGCUCUUCCAAUCGUGAAUAAAUAAGAAAUGCUUUUGACUUGACUGCUCUGCUCACUUAGCUGAGUUGUGAUACUGGUAUUGAGUCGUGGGUUGCGCUGCGUUUUGGAGAGAUUAAAUGUUUCCUUCUCUAUUCAGAAGGGGAGCCAAACACCUAAGCUGCCAGCAACUACAGCUCCAUGAACCGUCAGAGGAGAAGAAGUGGUUUGUUAUCGUAGCUACAUAAUAAGAAUAUAUAUAUUGACAUGGCCUGUUUUAGAGUGGAGUUUCUCAAACACAGUUUCAAACAAAUCAUUUUGAAAAGGACUAUAGACAAAGUUCUUCCUUCUCCUUUCAGCAGGCAGAAGUCCACACAAAUUUCACAAGCUAAAUCUCCAAACAGGCAUCCAUAAUUCAGUGUGUCGGAGCUUUACUAUAAAGCUCAUCAUUUGUGAAGUUAUGUAAAAAUCCCCUUUGUAAAGAAAUCUUUCCCUGCUAUCUCUUAGUAAGAUGAUGCUUUUUGAUCUCUG